rnacentral:rRNA from 1 species
CGUGUGUUAAAGUUGUUGCAGUUAAAAAGCUCGUAGUUGGAUUUGUGGCGUAUGGUGUGUUCCGGGCACUUGUUGUCUGAGUAACCUGCUGUUGCCAUCCUUGGGUGGAACCUGUGUGGCAUUAGGUUGUCGUGCAGGGGAUGCCCAUCAUUUACUGUGAAAAAAUUAGAGUGUUCAAAGCAGGCUUACGCCGUUGAAUAUAUUAGCAUGGAAUAAUGAGAUAGGACCUUGGUACUAUUUUGUUGGUUUGCGCACCGAGGUAAUGAUUAAUAGGGACAGUUGGGGG